UACGAGGGGGGCAAAUGUUGUUCGGAAUCACUGGGCGUAAAGGGAGCGUAGGCGGGUUUUUAAGUUAGGUGUUUAAUACCGGGGCCCAACCCCGGACCGGCACUUAAAACUGGGAAUCUUGAAUAGUGGAGAGGUCAGUGGAAUUGGGGGUGUAGCGGUGGAAUGCGUAGAGAUCCCCAAGAACACCCGUUGCGAAGGCGGCUGACUGGACACAUAUUGACGCUGAGGCACGAAAGCGUGGGGAGCAAACAGG
rnacentral:rRNA from 1 species